rnacentral:rRNA from 1 species
CCUACGGGAGGCAGCAGUGAGGAAUAUUGGACAAUGGGCGCAAGCCUGAUCCAGCCAUGCCGCGUGCAGGAAGACGGUCCUAUGGAUUGUAAACUGCUUUUGUACAGGAAGAAACACUCCCUCGUGAGGGAGCUUGACGGUACUGUAAGAAUAAGGAUCGGCUAACUCCGUGCCAGCAGCCGCGGUAAUACGGAGGAUCCAAGCGUUAUCCGGAAUCAUUGGGUUUAAAGGGUCCGUAGGCGGUUUAAUAAGUCAGUGGUGAAAUCUGGUCGCUCAACGAUCAAACGGCCAUUGAUACUGUUAGACUUGAAUUAUUAGGAAGUAACUAGAAUAUGUAGUGUAGCGGUGAAAUGCUUAGAUAUUACAUGGAAUACCCAAUUGCGAAGGCAGGUUACUACUAAUGGAUUGACGCUGAUGGACGAAAGCGUGGGGAGCGAACAGGAUUAGAUACCCUGGUAGUCCAGCCGUAAACGAUG